GGGGCCGUAGCUCAGCCUGGGAGAGCACCCGGCUGAAGACCGGGGUGUCGUGGGUUCAAAUCCCACCGGCCCCA
rnacentral:tRNA from 1 species